GAAGGAUCAUUAUCGAGCUAAGACGAAAAGUCUCCGAACGUGCAUGCCUUCCAUAUGCGCGUAUACGUGAGCCGCACAGUGAGCUGCACACAUGUGGUGGUGGUGGCCGUCAGCCGUGUUUUUCUGGCAGACAAUGGUCUGUAGCUUGCUGUGCGUUGAGGGGGGAUAGGUGACGUAUUGGGCUGGUUAGAAAGGUAUGUCGCCGGCGCCUAUCCUCUCGUUAUCUCUCAAAAACGGUAUCCACUUUGGCGUCUACGCCUCACCUAGCUACUGCCUGGACCGUCGGUAGCUAUGAAAGGUGGGGAUAAAGCUCCUCGUCUUGAUGGCGAGUCGAGUAGACUUAAUGAGCCUCAGCGAGGAGGCCGCCAAAACCCAAACACAACCAGUCUUUUGUUUGAACUGUUGUUAAGGUACUUCCUUGUGUUGUGCCUUUGAAAGUGAGUAUAAAUCUUAGCGGUGGAUCACUCGGUUCGUGGAUCGAUGAAGAACGCAGCUAGCUGCGAUAACUAGUGCGAAUUGCAGACACAUUGAGCACUAAGAAUUCGAACGCACAUUGCGCCAUCGGGUUCAUUCCCGUUGGCACGUCUGGCUGAGGGUCGAAUUUGCCUAUGAAACAUCCGCUCGUGUGUUCACGAGUGGUGUAUUCGGUGAGCUAUGGCGGUGUUUUGGUUGUUGUCGUUGUGCUCGCAUGUUGCGGCGGCGCCCCGUUCGCGGGAAGUCACCCCUCAUACGUGUCGGCGGCGGCAUGCCGCACCGGCAUACCUUGCUCAGGCUAUGUGCCAUGUAUAGCUCGCAGUCAUUUGCUCCAUGCGAGGCGAUGAUGGCCGUCAAGUGUCGCUCCCUUGUCCAUAGGUACGGCUCCGAGCACGUGUUUGCCGAUUGGCUAUCGGUUCGGAAUGCAUGUAUCGACGCUGGAAAUGGAAGAGGGCAGGUGAUGCCAGGUGGCUGUCACUUUGUUUUGACCUCAGCUCAGUCGUGACUACCCGCUGAAUUUAAGCAUAUAACUA
rnacentral:rRNA from 1 species